UUUAGUGGAGAGUAUGAUACUGGCUCAGGACGAACGCUGGCGGCGUGGAUUAGGCAUGCAAGUCAUUUUAAUGAAGUCUUCGGAUUUUAUUAGAGUGGCGAAAGGGUGAGUAACACGUAGGUAAUCUACCUUCAAGAUUGGGAUAACACUUCGAAAGAGGUGCUAAUACCGGAUACGUUCACGUUUUCGCAUGAAAAUGUGAAGAAAGAUGGUGUUUUCGGACAUUGUUACUUGAAGAUGAGCCUGCGGCCUAUUAGCUAGUUGGUGGGGUAAUGGCCUACCAAGGCGGCGAUGGGUAGCUGGCCUGAGAGGGUGGUCAGCCACAUUGGGACUGAGAUACUGCCCAAACUCCUACGGGAGGCUGCAGUCGAGGAUAUUUCGCAAUGGGGGAAACCCUGACGAUGCGACGCCGCGUGAGGGAUGAAGGCCUUCGGGUUGUAAACCUCUGUGUUAUGGGAAGAAACGUAGGUUAGUGAAAGCUAUCUUACCUGACGGUACCGUAAUAGAAAGCCCCAGCAAACUGCGUGCCAGCAGCUGCGGUAAUACGUGGGGGGCGAGCGUUGUCCGGAAUCAUUGGGCGUAAAGGGUGUGUAGGCGGCCGUGUAAGUCUUAUGUGAAAGUGCUGGGCUCAACCGAGCAACUGCAUUUGAUACUACAUGGCUUGAGUAUAGGAGAGGGAAGUGGAAUGGGUAGUGUAACGGUGAAAUGUGUAGAUAUUAUCCAGAACACCGGUGGCGAAGGCGGCUUCCUGGCCUGAUACUGACGCUGAGGCACGAAAGUUAGGGUAGCGAACGGGAUUAGAUACCCCGGUAGUCCUAACCGUAAACGAUGGGCACUAAGUGUAGGAGGUAUCGACCCCUCCUGUGCUGUAGCUAACGCAUUAAGUGCCCCGCCUGGGGAGUACGGCCGCAAGGCUAAAACUCAAGGUAAUUGACGGGGGCCCGCACAAGCGGUGGAGCAUGUCGCUCAAUUCGAAGCAACGCGAAGAACCUUAUCCAGGGCUUGACAUCCUUUGAUAACCAUAGAAAUAUGGUCUUCCCUUCGGGGACAGAGAGACAGGUGCUGCAUGGCUGUCGUCAGCUCGUGUCGUGAGAUGUUGGGUUAAGUCCCGCAACGAGCGCAACCCUUGCUCUUAGUUGCCAUCGGGUAAUGCCGGGGACUCUAAGAGGACUGCCUGCGACGAGCAGGAGGAAGGUGGGGAUGACGUCAAGUCCGCAUGGCCCUUAAGCUCUGGGCUGCACACGUGCUACAAUGGCUGGUACAGCGGGAGUUGAAACCGCGAGGUGGAACGAAUCCCUAAAAACCAGCCUCAGUUCGGAUUGUAGUCUGCAACUCGACUACAUGAAGUUGGAAUCGCUAGUAAUCGCGGAUCAGCAGGCCGCGGUGAAUACGUUCCCGGGCCUUGUACACACCGCCCGUCACGCCAUGAAAGCCGGUAACAUUCGAAGCCGGUGGGCUAACCCGCGAGGGGGGCAGCCGUCGAAGAUGAGAUCGGUAAUUGGGGCGAAGUCGUAACAAGGUAGCCGUAUCGGAAGGUGCGGCUGGAUCACCUCCUUUCUAAGGA
rnacentral:rRNA from 1 species